GGUGAGGUAGCUCAGCACGGUAGAGCAGAGGAUUCAUAUCCCUCAGGUCACGGGUUCAAAUCCCGUUCUCACCACCA
rnacentral:tRNA from 1 species